rnacentral:rRNA from 1 species
AACGAACGCUGGCGGCAGGCUUAACACAUGCAAGUCGAGCGCCCCGCAAGGGGAGCGGCAGACGGGUGAGUAACGCGUGGGAACGUACCUUUUGGUUCGGAACAACUCCGGGAAACUGGAGCUAAUACCGGAUAAGCCCUAACGGGGAAAGAUUUAUCGCCGAAGGAUCGGCCCGCGUCUGAUUAGCUAGUUGGUGAGGUAACGGCUCACCAAGGCGACGAUCAGUAGCUGGUCUGAGAGGAUGAUCAGCCACACUGGGACUGAGACACGGCCCAGACUCCUACGGGAGGCAGCAGUGGGGAAUAUUGGAAAAUGGGCGCAAGCAUGAUCCAGCCAUGCCGCGUGAGUGAUGAAGGCCUUAGGGUUGUAAAGCUCUUUUGUCCGGGAAGAUAAUGACGGUACCGGAAGAAUAAGCCCCGGCUAACUUCGUG